rnacentral:rRNA from 1 species
AUCCGCCAGAAAAUUACGGGCGAAAGCCUAAAACUCAAAAGACUUGACGGUGUCCCAACCUCCCUAGAGGAGCCUGUUCCAUAAUCGACAAUCCACGAUACACCUAACCACCCCUAGAUUUAACCUCAGCCUAUAUACCGCCGUCGAACAGCUUACCUUAAAUAGACCACAAGUAAGCCUAAAAGUAAUAUACUAACAAGUCAGGUCAAGGUGUAGCUCAUGGGGUGGAGGAAAUGGGCUACAUUAUUUAACAUAAAUACACGAAUUUAAAUUACCUGAAAAAUAAAAUGAAGGCGGAUUUAGCAGUAAUUUAAGCAAGAAUACUUAAAUUAA